UUGCUCUGUGAUAACCACACCACACUGUGUGGGCGCACAAAACACCUAAACCUGGAGUAUACACACGUCAACAAAAGAUUAAAAGAAUAAAACUUUCAACAACGGAUCUCUUGGUUCUCGCAUCGAUGAAGAGCGCAGCGAAAUGCGAUACCUAGUGUGAAUUGCAGCCAUCGUGAAUCAUCGAGUUCUUGAACGCACAUUGCGCCCGUCGGUAUUCCGGCGGGCAUGCCUGUCUGAGCGUCGUUUCCUUCUUGUGCACCGCGGGGUCUUUGCAGAUCCUCUCUGCGCAGAGCUGGCCGUGCCACUGGCCCGGCCGAAAAGAAACGUUGCGGACGAAGCGAACUACAUCGGGACGCUUUGGCCGCCGAGCGAAAAAAAAACACCAUUGAGCUCGACCUCAGAUCAGGUAGGAGUACCCGCUGAACUUAAGCAUAUCAAUAGUCGGAGAAAGGAUCAUUACUGUGAUUAU
rnacentral:rRNA from 1 species